GACGAACGCUGGCGGCGUGCUUAACACAUGCAAGUCGAACGGAAAGGCCCAGCUUGCUGGGUGCUCGAGUGGCGAACGGGUGAGUAACACGUGGGUGAUCUGCCCCUAACUUCGGGAUAAGCUUGGGAAACUGGGUCUAAUACCGGAUAGGACAAUCGUUUAGUGUCGGUUGUGGAAAGUUUUUUCGGUUAGGGAUGAGCCCGCGGCCUAUCAGCUUGUUGGUGGGGUAAUGGCCUACCAAGGCGUCGACGGGUAGCCGGCCUGAGAGGGUGGACGGCCACAUUGGGACGGAGAUACGGCCCAGACUCCUACGGGAGGCAGCAGUGGGGAAUAUUGCACAAUGGGCGCAAGCCUGAUGCAGCGACGCCGCGUGGGGGAUGACGGCCUUCGGGUUGUAAACCUCUUUCGACAGGGACGAAGCUUUGGUGACGGUACCUGUAUAAGAAGCACCGGCUAACUACGU
rnacentral:rRNA from 1 species